UACGUAGGGUGCGAGCGUUGUCCGGAAUUAUUGGGCGUAAAGAGCUCGUAGGCGGCUUGUUGCGUCGGAUGUGAAAGCUCGGGGCUUAACCCUGGGUCUGGAUUCGAUACGGGCAGGCUAGAGUGUGGCAGGGGAGACUGGAAUUCCUGGUGUAGCGGUGAAAUGCGCAGAUAUCAGGAGGAACACCGGUGGCGAAGGCGGGUCUCUGGGCCAAUACUGACGCUGAGGAGCGAAAGCGUGGGGAGCGAACAGG
rnacentral:rRNA from 1 species